AAAACCCUAUCCACCCACAGCCGCCGCCACCUCUCCCUCUCUCCUCGGGCUCUGGAUUUAGAUUCGCCACCCACCGGCGCCCUCACAUCUCGCCGCCCAUAUCCCCCAAGCCACCAUCCUCCCACCCUCUCCGUCUCCCCCUCCCUCCCCUCCUCUCCUCAGAGAGGAGAGGGAGAUCGACCAACCAUGGCGGCGGCCAUGGUGGCAGCCAGAUCUGGGAUGGUCGCAGGCACCUCUCCCUCCUCGCAAAGGCUACGGGAUUUACCGGUAUGGGACAGGAGCACCGUUUCCUCCCGUUGCUUCUGCUCGGCCGUGCGUGAGGAGAUCCCAUGGACGCCGAUGUCAAGCUCCGCUGCUCUGACCCCCAUCCAGGUCUGCUCCCUUCUCUGUUCCCCUCUUCGAUCUGCCCUUCUUCCAAUUCCUUCUCCGAGGCAUGCAUUUUCUAUUGGUUUUCUUCCUCACACAGGCACCUGCACCAGCAACUCUAUGCAGGGAGAGGAGUGAGGGCGCUGCAGGGAGAAAAAUGAAGAACGGGAUGCACCUGAGGAGAGAGGGGAUGGUGAGAGGAGAAGGUGCUGCAAGUGCCAAGAGAAGGGGUCGGAUGCAACUGAAACCCUUGCUACGAAGCUCCUACGGGUGAAAUGGAUGUGAACCUUCAAAAUCAAAUGUUUCGCGCCGGCGCGGCUCCGGCGCCUGCUGGAUGGUGCUCCUGGAACAAGACGGCACGGAGGCCCUCCUCUCGCAGGAUGUGCUGACGCGGCGCACGCAGCGGCAUGUUUGGGGCAAGCUUGAGCGCGAUGGCCUUGUCUCAACGAUGACGGCGGUGAACGUUGGUGCUCCUUCUCGUCCUCUAUCUCCAAGGACAUGCGCCGGUACAGCUCGGGCAACCCCGCCCCUGAACGCCGUCCACCCAUCCGGCGAUGUACAGGUCGUCCUCACGUGUGUGGAUUCGCCUCUUGCUGGACUCAACACUUGCAAUGUGGACAUGGUACCGGCAAGGAGUGCACUUUGUGAGAAGUGCUAGUUACGGGAGUAUGCUCAUGUCACCAGCAUACUAAGGGUUUCUCUACAACCAAUUAUCUUCUGCACGGAGCCACAGAGGGCCAACCUGGGGUAUUGUUUGCUACAUCAACACUUGUAAUAUUUCCCUAUACCUACAUUCAUUUGUUAUUAAGUUAUAAUCAUCUUCAGUGUAGAGUAUAUAAUAUUUUUGUAGUUUUGGUGGUCAGGUUUAUAACAUGGUUGUUCGUACAAAAUUGUUGUAACAUCUCAUUAGUAUUUCUACGUACAAUUUUCAAAAUCUUUUUGUUCUUCCAACGUACAUACAACUGAAAUUUUAUCUUCAAACUUGAUAAAAUGACACCCCUUUUGUUGGUUCUAACAAAAUUACUCAUAUCUAAAAAUGUCUAAUGUUUGUUCUGUUUUUGGACAGAUAUAUUAGAUGAUAGUUGCCAUGAAGAGUGUCGAUUGCAAGAAAUUGAAUAAGAAAUUUUUAUAUACGUUGUUGAAGUAAAUUGGAUUUUGAUGGUCCUAACCUUGCUAUGUGUUGUAUUUUGUCAAUUCAUGUUAUAAAUAAUCAUUUCAGGGAGGUUUUGUAAACUGCUAUGUUGUAUGUACCGAUGGAUGGCUGUGUAAAUACUACAGGGCAUUUUGAAGUAUUUUUUCUUCAGCCAAAUUUGGCACUA